UGGGGAAUAUUGGACAAUGGGCGCAAGCCUGAUCCAGCCAUGCCGCGUGAGUGAUGAAGGCCUUAGGGUUGUAAGGCUCUUUCACCGGAGAAGAUAAUGACGGUAUCCGGAGAAGAAGCCCCGGCUAACUUCGUGCCAGCAGCCGCGGUAAUACGAAGGGGGCUAGCGUUGUUCGGAAUUACUGGGCGUAAAGCGCACGUAGGCGGGUAUUUAAGUCAGGGGUGAAAUCCCAGAGCUCAACUCUGGAACUGCCUUUGAUACUGGGUACCUAGAGUAUGGAAGAGGUGAGUGGAAUUCCGAGUGUAGAGGUGAAAUUCGUAGAUAUUCGGAGGAACACCAGUGGCGAAGGCGGCUCACUGGUCCAUUACUGACGCUGAGGUGCGAAAGCGUGGGGAGCGAUCCGGAUUAGAUACCCGGGUAGUCCACGCUGUAAACGAUGAGUACUAGGUGUCGGGGGUAUCGACCCCCUCGGUGCCGAAGCUAACGCGAUAAGUACUCCGCCUGGGG
rnacentral:rRNA from 1 species